GUGAGGAAUAUUGCGCAAUGGAGGCAACUCUGACGCAGCCAUGCCGCGUGCAGGAAGAAGGCGCUACGCGUUGUAAACUGCUUUUAACCGGGAAGAAACCCCAGGACGUGUCCUGGGUUGACGGUACCGGAGGAAUAAGCACCGGCUAACUUCGUGCCAGCAGCCGCGGUAAUACGAAGGGUGCAAGCGUUAUCCGGAUUCAUUGGGUUUAAUGGGUGCGUAGGCGGAGCGUUAAGUCAGUGGUGAAAUCCUGCAGCUUAACUGUAGACUUGCCAUUGAUACUGGCGCUCUUGAGUGCGCUUGAAGUGGGCGGAAUGUGCCGUGUAGCGGUGAAAUGCUUAGAUAUGGCACAGAACACCAAUUGCGAAGGCAGCUCACUAAGGCGAUACUGACGCUGAGGCACGAAAGCGUGGGGAUCGAACAGGAUUAGAUACCCGUGUAGUCC
rnacentral:rRNA from 1 species